CCUACGGGCGGCAGCAGUGAGGAAUAUUGGUCAAUGGGCGGAAGCCUGAACCAGCCAAGUAGCGUGAAGGAUGACUGCCCUAUGGGUUGUAAACUUCUUUUAUAUGGGAAUAAAAUGUUCCACGUGUGGGAUUUUGUAUGUACCAUAUGAAUAAGGAUCGACUAACUCCGUGCCAGCAGCCGCGGUAAUACGGAGGAUCCGAGCGUUAUCCGGAUUUAUUGGGUUUAAAGGGAGCGUAGGUGGAUUGUUAAGUCAGUUGUGAAAGUUUGCGGCUCAACCGUAAAAUUGCAGUUGAAACUGGCAGUCUUGAGUACAGUAGAGGUGGGCGGAAUUCGUGGUGUAGCGGUGAAAUGCUUAGAUAUCACGAAGAACUCCGAUUGCGAAGGCAGCUCACUGGACUGCAACUGACACUGAGGCUCGAAAGUGUGGGUAUCAAACAGGAUUAGAUACCCUGGUAGUC
rnacentral:rRNA from 1 species